UUGAGCAGCAAUUGUAGGUGUGUCGUGCCACAGUUCAUGACUAAGCAGUACCUUGUAUUAUACAGAUAGAUCGAUAUACAAUAUAUCCAAUCUACUCAAUCGUACAAUAUAUAAAUGGUUGCUAUUGAAAAUCAAACCUCAUUGCCAUCAUCUGGAUCCCUGCAGCACCUUUUCAAAUCACACAUUAGAGAAAGACGGCAAAUCAAAUCUUGAGAAAGCUGUAUAACUUUGACAUCCUCGAUACCUUAGGGGUGCGCCGUGUUAGCGACCAGAAGAAGAACCGGAAUCAGAGUUGGAAUCAAUUAGAAUAGAAAACAAAAUGGCUAUAUUCCUCAACGUGUUUUGUUCGUGGCUAAAAUCGGAAUGGAAUUUGAAUACUAGAUGAGAGUCUGAAUUGGAUUUUAGAGAAUUGAAGCAUUCCAUUCUCCUUCGGAAUUGGAAUGGAAAUAGAAUUCCAUCCUCAUUCCAGAGGCCAAC
rnacentral:lncRNA from 1 species